rnacentral:lncRNA from 1 species
CAAACCUUUGUUCAUAAAUAUUGAGGACAUAUUUGAGCUCAAAGUUUAUCAAGUGGACAAGUUGUUGGCCAAUAACAAUGGUUGGACAUGUUAAAUUUGGAAGAGUACAUUUUGUGUACAUGUUGGUUAGUUUAACAGGAAACACGUUUACAAUCACCUUAUGCGUAAUAAUAUUUUAACGAAAAAUCAAUCAGGCUUUACACGGGGGGAUUCAGCGGUUAAUCAAUUAAUUAACAUUUCAAAUGAUUUUGGGAAGGCUUUAGAUAGCGUAGCGGUAAAGAAAUAAGGGUAGUAUUCUGUGAUAUAAGUAAAGCGUUUGAUCGAGUCUGGCAUAAAGGGCUGCUAUUUAAACUUCAACAAGCGGGUAUAUCAGGUUCUUUACUAAGGUGGUUUGAAAUUUAUCUUACAAAUAGAGUCCAGCGGGUGGUUAUUAACGGUUCAUGUUCCGAAUGGUUACCUGUAAAUGCUGGCGUCCCACAAGGGUCCAUUCUAGGCCCUCUCCUUUUUUUGAUAUUUAUAAAUGAUAUUGUAGAAGACAUUCAAGCUCAAAUUAAGCUAUUUGCAGAUGACACUUCAUUAUAUAUUAUGGUUGACAAUCCAACAGAAACAGCUACAAUUUUAAAUGACGAUCUAGAUAAGAUUUAUAAUUGGUAAAAAAAAUGGCUUGUGAAUUUUAAUGCCCAAAAAACUAAAAGUAUGAUAAUUUCAACAAAAAUAAAUAGACCCUUUCAUCCUUCAUUAAAUCUGAAUACCCAAGAGCUACAAACAGUUAGUAAAGACAAACAUCUAGGUGUCUUUUUUUCUAACAACGGAUCCUGGAACGACCAUAUUGAAUAUAUAGUUUCUAAAUCUUACAAAAGAAUAAAUAUAAUGAGAAAAAUGAAAAAUGUUCUUGAUAGAUUUUCACUUGAAAAAGUUUACAUAUCAUUUGUUCGCCCAAUUCUUGAAUAUGCCGAUGUCGUUUGGGACUCCCAAAAUCAGAAUUUGAUUGCUAAACUAAAAUAUUCAGCUUGACGCAGCGCGUAUCGUCACGGGGGGUACUAAACUUACAAGUAUAAACAAUUUAUAUGUUGAAACUCGAUGGGAAAAAUUACCUGAAAGACGACGCAAUCAUAGACUAAUUCAUUAUCACAAAAUUUUGAAUAAUAAAACUCCAGAGUAUUUGAGAGACUUAUUGCCUGAUUCAGUAGGAAGUAGGCAUGAUCAUAAUACAAGACAAAGAAAUAAUAUUACCCAAGUCAACACACGGACCCGUUUAUAUUCUGAAUAUUUUAUCCCUGCAACAACAAAACUAUGGAACACUCUUAACUUAAACAUAAGAAAAUGUGAAUCUGUGUCAUUAUUCAAAAAUCAAAUUAGUACCCAAAAUAGUAAGGUCCCAACGUAUUAUUAUAUAGGACAUCGUCUUGGUCAAAUUCUUCAUGCUCGCUUAAGAAUGGAUUCAAGUUCUUUGAAUUCUCACCUUUUCGUUCGUAAUUUAGUAGACUCGCCAAAUUGUCGUUGUGGUGAUGUAGAAACAAAUACUCACUUUCUGUUAUCUUGUCCUAUAUACACUAAUUUAAGACAUGAACUAUUAGAUUCUAUUUCAGUUCUUCCUGUCCAAGUAAACACAAAAACUUUGCUUUUUGGAUCAACGGUACUCUCAGAUGAGCAAAAUAGUAUUUUAUUCAGUUUGGUGCAAAAAUAUAUUAUAAAAAGUAAACGUUUUAACCCUUGAUGUUAAUGCCUCAUCACUCAAUAGGAACCCAAACAUUUCACACUGUAUACAUUACAAUAAUUCACGUUUAUUUAUUAUUUUUAUUUUAUUUUUCUCAUGAAUAUUUUUUUUUCUUCCUUUUUCACCUUUUUCAUAUUCAUAUAUUUAUUACAGAGCAUGCCAGUAUUUAUAUUUAUGUAUUGUUCAAUAAGUGUAUAAUGUCUGUAAAGGGAGACAGAUUUGUAAAAGCAAAUUGCUUGUUUCUGAAUCCUUAAUAUUAUUUCAUUGUAUAAUAUGUUUAAUGUUGAUUUAUCUGAAUAAAUAUUGUUUAAACUAACAGGAAACACUUAGGGAAGUCAAUGAUACGUGAUAUGCAGUGUACUAUAAUACAGUUGGAGGAGCAUCUGCAUAUCUCAUAUUGAUAUAAUGGGGGUCUAACACCAAAAAUCAUUGGUUUAUUAUACUGAAUCUGAUUAGUUCCGUUUAGGGACACCCAUAAUGGUAUUAAAGUCAGCAAUAUUUGGUAUGUUGUUGUCAGAACUAUAACAUCUCAUCCAUGGGGAUUAAGUAUACCAUAAAAAUGCUACUCGUGCUACUAGCAAUAUGAUGCCAGAUGGUUUUAAAACUAUUUUUUUUUUAAAUUUGUGUUGCCUGCUGAAGAAGACUGAGUGUAGAUUAUCAUUGACUUAAACAUAUAUGGGUAAUGUUAGUUAGUAUAAUUUUUAAACCUUUUCAGUUCAGUCCCAUAUCUACAAUAAUUUUUAGGUAAAGAUUGCAUUAAAUGCAAUCAAAACCUAAUGGGACUGACUUGAUAACUAACUGUUCCAAGGCCUAUCACUGCCUUUUUUAUACACAAAAUAAAGUGCAUUGAAUACAAUGUAUAGUGAAUUUCUUAUGUAUGACGUAGUCAGUGGAUUUGAAACUACCACAAUCGACUGUUUUAUGAAAAUUUGUCUGUAAUUUGAAAGCAUACACUUAUCUCGAAGCUUCAUACAAUAAUUAAGGUAAAAACAAGUACUUAGUAUAUAAAAUGCAAACAAUCAUAAUUUAUGCACUUUUAAUAUUAAAAAAAAACAUAGAAACAAAUGUAAACAUCUCAAAUAUUCCCCAC